GCGCGUUUCCGGGAAGGUGAAUACCGGUGAAAGUUAUGCUGAGGGUGAGUAAACUCAAAAACUGACACUCGAUUCAGCUAUUGGAAAGUUUUUUUAAUGUGGUUGGAACAACUGAGAACUUGGCAGGAUGAAGACAAAGUGUGUGAAAGGUAUUCUUUGGAAUUUUGUGGAUGCGUUUUCUCAGCUGAAAGAGAGCCUGGAUCUUCAUUUUCUUCUGAUGAUCUCUUAUGAAAACUUAGAUAUCUCCAGUCUUGGGGAUAAAGAUAUGAGUGAUACAAAUUAGUUAACAAGCUUAUUACAGAUGGUCUCAACCACUUCCACUCAUAUGAACACACACCUCACAUACCACACACAUUACCACACAUGCAAAGAUAAGAAACAUAGCAUUCUCUCUCCUUUCCUCUCUCUCCUCUCUCUCUCUUUUUGAGACAGUCUUGCUCUGUCACCCAGGCUGGAGUGCAGUGGUAUGAUCAUGGCUCAUGGCAGCCUCGAACUCCUAGACUCAUGCGAUCCUCCCACUUCUACCUCCAGAAUAGCUAGGACCAGAGGGUAUGCCACUGCAUUUGGCUAAUUAUUAUUUUACAAAAAAAAAAAAUGUAGGGAUUGGGUCUUGCCUUGCUGCCAAGGCUGGUUUCGAACUCCUGGGCUUAUGCAAUUCUCCCAUCUGGUCCUCUCAAAGUAUUGGGAUCACAGACAUGAGCCACCACACCCAUCCAGUAUUAUCUUUUUAUGUGAUUUAUAUUAAUAUAUACAUACUAAAGUUUUAUAAACAUGGAGUGACUUUUUUUCAAUAAUAAAAAUGAUUCAAAUAUUCUAUUUUCUUUUUUAAACACUCCAUAUGGGUUGUGUACAGACAGGUUAAAACUCAAUUCCUCUCUCUCUUCUUCAAAGCCUUUUGAUUGUAAUCAAUCUAUCAAUACUGUUGUAUAGCAGUUUCCUCCUUUGGAAAACAGAAAAACAUAUUAUUACUUGGGUGUAAAUUAUUUAUUUCACAAAAUAUUUGAGGAGGUUUACAAUCAAAAUUAUAAAAAAACAAUAGCAAGACUUUUGGCAAAAUGAAAGGAACACAAAUAAUUCCCUCUCUGUCUUUUAAAAUCCCGUUUAAACAUCCAGUAGAUUAAAAAAAUACAGAAAAAUCUGCAUGUUCACUGGAAAUCAGUCAGAGGUGUGUAUAUUCCACAUUUUAAAGAACUAGAGGAAUUGCUGUUAAAUUUAGUAUGAAAGUAACUGAACUGAGCAAGCCUAUGUAGAAGUGGUAUGAGUCUUCUGAAACAAGGAUACGCAGACAGUAGUGGUGGCUGAACAUUGUAGACAGUACAAAAUUUGAGGGGAAGGCUGGGCAUGGUGGCUCACAGCUGUAAUCCUGGAGAUUUGGGAGGCUGAGGUGGGCAGAUUGCUUGAGACCAGGAGUUUGAUGUUGCAGUGUGUUGUGAUUCCACCGCUGUACUCCAGCCUGGGUGACAGAGUGAGCCCAUGUCUCUAUUGAAAACAAAAGAAAAGGAAAGAAAAAAAAUUGAGGGGAGAGGGUUGGAAGCAAAAAUGGCUGGGGAGACUGUUACGGACUGAAUGUGUCUCCUCAAAUUCCUAUGCUGAAAUCCUAACUCCCAAUGUAAUGGUGUUAGAAGCUGGAGCCAUUGGUACGUGAUUAGAUACUGACUGGAGCUUUCAUGAAUAGGAUCAGUACUCUCAUAAGAGAAGCUUAAGAGAGAUCUCUAGCUCCUUCCACCAUGUGAGCAUGCAGGGAGAAGAUGGAAGUCAAUGAAGAGGAAACGAGCCCUUAACAGACACUGACUCUGCUAAUAUUUGGACUUCCCAGGCUCCAGAACUGUGAGAAAUAAACUUUUGUUGUUUAU
rnacentral:lncRNA from 1 species